rnacentral:rRNA from 1 species
AUGGCUGAAGCUUUGGCGUUAAAAUUUGGCCUAUCGCUUGCGCAAAGGACGGGUUGUAAUCGCAUAAUUAUUAACUCGGAUAAUAUGGAGGUGAUCGAGACCAUGAACGAAGGAGGACGAUCGUCGGGGGCAUCAGCUGCAAUUUUUUAUGACUGUUUUCACUUAGCUUGCGAUUUUCCUAUUUCUAGAUUCGAGCAUUGUAAUAGAGAAGAAAAUAAAGUUGCUCAUGAACUUGCCAAGUUGGCUAGAUUUUCAUUAAUUUUUGAUUGGUUUGAGAAACCACAUAAUGCAAUUGUACCAAUCCUCAUAAACGAUGUAAUGAUUAUUUUAAUGAAUAAAGCUCGAACUUUCUUUCAAAAAAAGGGGUAUUUCAGAAAAAUUUCAUGGGCUGGAGGCCUGAGGAGCUCCCCCACUGGGUUGAAUGAUGGGAGGUGGUAG